GACGAACGCUGGCGGCGUGCUUAACACAUGCAAGUCGAGCGGUAAGGCCUUUCGGGGUACACGAGCGGCGAACGGGUGAGUAACACGUGGGUGACCUGCCUUUAGCUUCGGGAUAAGCCUGGGAAACCGGGGUCUAAUACCGGAUAUGACCUCAUGUCGCAUGGUGUGGGGUGGAAAGUUCUUCGGGCUAGAGAUGGGCCUGCGGCCUAUCAGCUUGUUGGUGGGGUGAUGGCCUACCAAGGCGACGAC
rnacentral:rRNA from 1 species